rnacentral:lncRNA from 13 species
AUGGGAGGACGUAAUGGACAGCAAGAGUAUGGACUAUACUACUUGGGAGGAGAUAGACAGGUGGGCGGUCGACCCAGAGAGAGUGCCGGAGCCCGCCUGGGAUUCGUUGGAGCAGUGCGCGGAAGGUUAUCGGAGAAUGGAGUUUGCGAAGCAAGCACGGCGGCGCGGAAGGAAGCCCGAGAGUCAGCCCCAAAAAUGUAUUGGGGGGGGGGGCUCAGGGAGAGUGUGGCAGAGUCAGGGUUCAGACCUGAGCCAACUCCCCCUGUUUAUCGUGAGGAGCCAAGGAGGAGACCAGAACCAGAGCCGGUGUUGGAGGUGAGCGAAGCAGAGACUGUGAAGGAGUUAAUGGGGAAAUUGGAGGAGAGAGUUAUGAGGGAGUUGCUGUGUUGGUGCUUUAGGUACGAUAUUCGCCCGACGGAGCGUGUCGGGGAUUUGAUGGCACCUGGGUCAGUGCUCCAUACUCGUCCUGAGGUGCGUGUUAGUCGGCAGGUGAAGAUUGUGCCAGCCUCACGCACCAGGCCUCCUGUGCACCUCCCUAGCCUUGCACGUCCUGUGCCAGCCCUGCUCUCAAGCUCUCCAGUACGCCUUCACGGUCCGGUCCAUCCUGUGCCACCUCCACACACCAGUCCUCCGGUGGCAGCUCCCCGCACCAUGCUUCCUGUGCGUGUUCUCGGCCCAGUACCACCGGUGCCAGCACCACGCACCAGGCCUUCAGUGCGCCUCGCCUGUUCAGCGCUGCCAGAGCCUUUCUCCUCUCCAGCGCUGUCGGAGUCUCCCGCCUGUUUAGCGCUGUUAGAGCCUUUCUCCUCUCCAGCGCUGCCGGAGUCUUCCGCCUGUUCGGCGCAGUCAGAGCCUUCCUCCUCUCCAGCGCUGUCGGAGUCUCCUGCCUGUUCAGCGCAGCCAGAGCAGCCAGUCUGCAUAGAGCAGCCAGUCUGCAUGGAGCUGCCAGUCUGCAUGGAGCUGCCAGUCUGCAUGGAGCAGCCAGAGCUGCCAGUCUGCAUGGAGCAGCCAGAGCUGCCAGUCUGCAUGGAGCAGCCAGAGCUGCCAGUCUGCAUGGAGCAGCCAGAGCUGCCAGUCUGCAUGGAGCAGCCAGAGCUGCCAGUCUGCAUGGAGCAGCCAGAGCUGCCAGUCUGCAUGGAGCAGCCAGAGCUGCCAGUCAGCCAGAAUCUUCCAGAUCCGCCAUUCAGCCAGGAUCCGCCAGUUAGCCAGAAUCUUCCAGAUCCGCCAUUCAGCCAGGAUCUUCCAGAUCCGCCAGUCAGCCAGGAUCCGCCAGUCAGACAUGAUCUUCCAGAUCUGCCAGUCAACCAGACUCUUUCAGAUCUGCCAGUCAACCAGACUCUUCCAGAUCCGCCAGUCAGCCAGGAUCUGCCGGAUCCAACUACCCGCCUGAGCUGCCCCUCAGUGCCGAGCUGCCCCUCAGUGCCGAGCUGCCCCUCAGUGCCGAGCUGCCCCUCAGUGCCGAGCUGCCCCUCAGUCCCGAGCUGCCCCUCAGUCCCGAGCUGCCCCUCAGUCCAGUGGGAUUCUGGGUGA